ACUAUUUACAUUGUGGCAAUUGAUUGCAUUUAAUUGAACACAAUCACAUCAGCGUUGAACCAACAUACUGUACAAGUUAUUAAAGUUAUGGCCACUGUGUGAUAUUACAGUGCAAAUGAAGAUCAGUGACAGUGAAUCAGGGUCAGGUCUUGUUUCUGGGUGUAUCAGAGUAAGGCACAUUGUCCAGCAGGAGACUCUGGCGGGGCUGUAACACUACAAAACACAACACAAACCAGUCAUUAGCCUGGGGGAACUCAAGAUGUUUAGUCUUAUAUCAAGCUCAAAUAAAAAGAAAUACUUUGUUCUUAUUAUGCCAGUGUGAGAAAAUAGAUUCAGGGUUUCUACAGGUUUUAUGAAGGUAAAUUUAAGGCCUUUUAAAGAAAAUAUAUAUUAACGGGAACACAACACGUCAAUAUGUUCUUUAAAUGAAGCACACAAUGAUGUGUAUUAUCAACAUGUCGAAGUACUGUACUACAGUAACAAACAAGGUUACAAAACAAAAUCAUGCUUAAAGUGUGUCACUAUUUAAUAAAUAAAUAGAAAACUCUUAUUGGCUAAAAAUAUGCUUAUUUUCUCUUCUUCUUUUGGUUUUGGGAUGACAUGUGAUCAUGUUUUUGAGAUACACACAUAAUUUCACACAGAUCACUUACAGAUUUAGUUUUGCUCCACAUGCUCUCCCUGCAUCACAUUUUCACGAAGGAUGGUUUCAACCGCUCGGGCCACUUUGAGCAUCUUAAUUAACAUUCUUCAGGAUGAAGCACACAAGCAGAAGAAUCCUCCACGCGUCUCCUGUCUUUGUCUGAAAGGAAAGAACGAGGAAGAAAGUGUUCAGCAACAGCUAAACUCCGAGCAGGACCGUGGCAGCGCGUUAUACCGACCCUCAUAUAAGAGCAAUAAUCGUCCCCCUGAGAGCAGGGUCAGAUGGGUAGUGUGUUUAAUCAUUGGGUCAGCUCAAAGCUUCAGUCUCUCGAUAUAAAAGUUAGUUGGAUUAAUCCAAACAAAAAUCAGUCUGUAAAAGCUAGUACUAAAAUGUUGUCCACAACAUGUUACUUAUAAAUGCCUGAAACAUACCUUGCUGCUGCCCGUCCUCGAACCCCACGCUGCUCAAAGCACUGCAGCGCACAUGGCCGGAACCAGUCUUCUUCUUCUGUGUUUGUCUCAGGCUCUCGGCCAGAGCCUCAGCAGCGCAGUACUGCCUCCAGCGGCGGCACCGGGAACCACUGGUGGCCGAAUCAUGAAUCAUGACGCUUCGAAACAUGUUUUGAAGAAACUGCUUCAGAAGUCGCC
rnacentral:lncRNA from 1 species